rfam:Triticum aestivum genome assembly, contig: Triticum_aestivum_CS42_TGACv1_scaffold_513656_6BS
UGUGUACUCCCUCCGUUCCAAAAUACUUGACUUCCAUUUGUCCAAAAAUGGAUGUACCUAUAUACUAAAACAUGUCUAGAUACAUAUAUAUUUUGACAAAUAGAAGGCAUGUAUUGUGCAAUGGAGGGAGUAGAAU